UACGUAGGGUGCAAGCGUUAAUCGGAGUUACUGGGCGUAAAGCGUGCGUAGGCGGUGUCUUAAGUUUGUUGUGAAAUCUCCCGGCUUAACCGGGAGGGUGCGGCGAAUACUGAGAUGCUGGAGUGCCGGAGAGGUAAGCGGAGUUCCUGGUGUAGCGGUGAAAUGCGUAGAUAUCAGGAGGAACACCUGCGGUGUAGACGGCUUACUGGACGGUAACUGACGCUGAGGCACGAAAGCGUGGGUAGCAAACAGG
rnacentral:rRNA from 1 species